rnacentral:rRNA from 1 species
GACAGAGGGUGCAAACGUUGCUCGGAAUUACUGGGCGUAAAGCGCGUGUAGGCGGGCAUGCAAGUCGAGUGUGAAAUCCCUGGGCUCAACCCAGGAACUGCAUUCGAAACUGCAUGUCUAGAGUGUCGGAGAGGGAAGCGGAAUUCCUGGUGUAGCGGUGAAAUGCGCAGAUAUCAGGAGGAACACCGGUGGCGAAGGCGGUUCUCUGGGCAUGAUCUGACGCUGAGGAGCGAAAGUGUGGGGAGCGAACAGG